rnacentral:snRNA from 1 species
GAGUGUUACAGCUCUUUUAGAAUUUGUCUGUCAGGUUUUCCAGCCUUACUGGAAACCCCCC